rnacentral:rRNA from 1 species
GUGGGGAAUAUUGGGCAAUGGGGGAAACCCUGACCCAGCAACGCCGCGUGAGGGAAGAAGGCUUUCGGAUUGUAAACCUAUGUCCUUGGUGACGAAGGAAGUGACGGUAACCAAGGAGGAAGCCCCGGCUAACUACGUGCCAGUAGCCGCGGUAAUACGGAGGGGGCAAGCGUUGUCCGGAAUGACUGGGCGUAAAGGGCGUGUAGGCGGCCGAUUAAGUCUGGAGUGAAAGUCGUGCUUUCAAGGUGGGAAUUGCUUUGGAGUCUGGUUGGCUUAAGGGCGGAAGAGGUAAGUGGAAUUCCCAGUGUAGCGGUGAAAUGCGUAGAGAUUGGGAGGAAAACCAGUGGCGAAGGCGACUUACGGGGCCGUAACUGACGCUGGGGCGCGAAAGCGUGGGGAGCGAACAGGAUUAGAAACCCCAGUAGUCC